rnacentral:rRNA from 1 species
AUUGAACGCUGGCGGCAGGCCUAACACAUGCAAGUCGAGCGGAGCGGCGGACGGGUGAGUAAUGCCUAGGAAUCUGCCUGGUAGUGGGGGAUAACGUCCGGAAACGGGCGCUAAUACCGCAUACUAUCAGAUGAGCCUAGGUGGGAUUAGCUAGUUGGUGGGGUAAAGGCCUACCAAGGCGACGAUCCGUAACUGGUCUGAGAGGAUGAUCAGUCAAACUGGAACUGAGACAAGGGCCAGAUGCCUAGGGGAGGCAGCAGUGGGGAAUAUUGGCCAAUGGGUGAAAGCCGUGUCAAGCCAUGCGGCGUUUGUGAAGAAGUUCUUCGUAUUGUAAAGCACUUAAAGUAGGGAGGCGGUACCAACAGAAUAAGCACCGGCUAACUUCGUGCCAGCAGCCGCGGUAAUUC